rnacentral:rRNA from 1 species
GAUGAACGCUGGCGGCGUGCCUAACACAUGCAAGUCGAGCGAACAGACGCUGCUUUUGCUCCUCUGACGUUAGCGGCGGGCGGGUGAGACACGCGUGGAUAACCUUCCUAUUCGACUGGGAUCACUUCGAGAAGCCGGAGCUAAUACCAGAUAAUAUAUUGAACCUCAUGGUUCAAUAGUGAAAGCGGUUUUUGCUGUCAUCUCUAGAUGUAUCCGUGCUGGAUUAGUGAGUUGGUAGGGUAACGGCUUACCAAGGCGACGAUGCGUAGCUGACCUGAGAGGGGGAACGGCCACACUGGGACUGAGACACGGCCCAGACUCCUACGGGAGGCAGCAGUGGGGAAUGUUGGACAAUGGGCGAAAGCCUGACCGAGCAACGCCGCGUGCGUGAAGAAGGGCUUCGGGUCGUAAAACGCUGUUAUUGGGGAAGAAAAAGUUCGGAAGAAACUAUGCGGGUGAUGACGGUACCUAAAGAAGAAGCACCGGCUAACUACGUG